rnacentral:misc_RNA from 1 species
GAAAUGCGAUAAGUAAUGUGAAUUGCAGAAUUCCGUGAAUCAUCGAAUCUUUGAACGCACAUUGCGCCCUCUGGUAUUCCGGGGGGCAUGCCUGUCCGAGCGUCAUUGCGAACCCCUCAAGCACGGCUUGUGUGAUGGGCCCUCCCGCGUCUUGGUCGUCAAGACGGGCCCGAAAUGCAGUGGCGGCUUCGCGGUUAUCCGAUCAGCCAGAGCGUAUGGGGACUUUCUCUCUGUCACACGCCCGCGGCGCGGACCGACGCCUGUCGACCUUCAUUCAUCGUUUUCUCGGUUGACCUCGGAUCAGGUAGGGAUACCCGCCGAACUUAAGC